AUUUAUGACUUCUUUCGCAGAAAAGUGUGAAAAAAAAGGGUACCCGAAAAAUGCAAGUGAAUAAAGUUCCACAUAACUACGUCCCUUUUCAGAGUGUGGGAAUCUCAUUAUGCUCCUCUUGUUGGUGCUCUCCCAAGAGAGCUUGGAUCAUGUUUUACUGCAUGGUGAGGUCGCAGAGAUUGUCUGGAUGGGGUUCCAUGAGUUCGGUCUUACCUUCCUCAGACGUCGGGUGCUUUUUUUUCCGAUCUAUUUUGAUAAACCACUCCUACUCAAACCCAUAUGGAGCAGAUGCUAUAUUAACUGCCUCAUUCAUUUUGUGGGAGCUGUGGACCGCGAGAAACAAGAAUCGUUAUGAAGGUCGGACCCAACCGCGCCAUUUCUUUCAAGGUGCUGCUCCAGGUUCG
rnacentral:lncRNA from 1 species